rnacentral:rRNA from 1 species
UACGUAGGGGGCAAGCGUUGUCCGGAUUUAUUGGGCGUAAAGAGCGCGCAGGCGGCUGGUCAAGUCCGACGUGAAAUCUCCCGGCUUAACUGGGAAAUUGCAUCGGAAACUGAUCGGCUUGAAGGUGGGAGAGGGUAGCGGAAUUCCCGGUGUAGUGGUGAAAUGCGUAGAUAUCGGGAGGAACACCAGUGGCGAAGGCGGCUACCUGGCCCAUUCUUGACGCUGAGGCGCGAAAGCUAGGGGAGCAAACGGG